rnacentral:misc_RNA from 1 species
AACUUUCGGCAAUGGAUCACUUGUCUCUCGCAUCGAUGAAGAACGCAGCGAAAUGCGAUAAGUAAUGUGAAUUGCAGAAUUCAGGGAAUCAUCGAAUCUUUGAACGCACCUUGCACCCUUUGGCAUUCCGAAGGGUAUUCUCUUUUGAGUGUCAUUGUACUCUCACACUCCCGAUGCUUUUGGAUUGGGAGUGGUGGACUUGGGUGUUGCUGCUUUACUGUGGCUCACCUCAAAUGGAGUAGUGCACCUCUUGGUUGGACAUAGUACGGCGUGAUAAGUGUCUUCGCCGGCGCCUCAUUAGAGGGUGGCCGAUCGGGAGCUCUGUGAUUCAAACCGUCUUCGGACAACAUCUGACAACUUGACCUCUACUCGAGUAGGACUGCCCGCUGAACUUAAGCAUAUCAAUAAGCGGAGGCU